GUCUUCGUGGUGUAACGGUUAGCACACUCGGCGCAAAAUGUCCAGGUUCGAGUCCCGGUGAAGGCA
rnacentral:tRNA from 1 species